rnacentral:lncRNA from 1 species
GCGGUUUCAAACUGAGCAUUUGCUGUCCUGAGGAAGGAACACACAUUUGACUAGACCGUAUCUUCUCUAAAGAUGUGCUGCGCAUCAAUUCAUCUCCUCAUUGGUGCCUUAUUUGUCUUUGCUGUUGAAAAUGAGGCAACAACAAUAAGCAGCACAGAAAUCACCACUGCUCCAGUUUCAAUGUUUAUUGACAACACCACCCUAAUCAAUGAACCAUCAGAGGGCUUUCUAGACAACUUUACCACUCCAAACUCCACUGUCGCCCUGUCAAACAUGACGGUUGGAAAUACCACGUCAGAAUCACCUACUCCUCCGCCCUCAGAACAUCCACAGACCAAGAAUUACACUACAGACAACCCUCUGAAAAAGGAUUCACAAUCAAGCACAAAAAAUAUGAUCAAAAGCACAGCAAGCAAAACAACCACAAUUCAAGCACCAAAACCUGGCAAAAGCCAUGGACCAACUUACAUAAUUAUCCUGAUUAUAGUUGUUUUGUGCCUCUCUGGGGCAGUAGUUUAUUGUUGCCUUCAAAAGAACUCCAGGAAGUACUCUGUGGACUCACAUCCCAAACAAGAAGAUGCUCAGAUCCCACUCAGCACAGUGGAUGUAGAGGUGUUUGACACCACAUCAGUCAAAGAUAUACAAACAUUCACUCCUGUCGAGUCCACCGAGCCGCUUAAGGACCCUGCGCCUGUGAAGGAAGCUGAAAAGCCUGAGGGAGGGAAAGAAUCAGCUGAUGUUAAACAAGAAAACCAACCAAAUGUAUCCAGCACUCAGGCCACAGUGAACACAAAGGAUAAAACGGAUGGGCUGACCAUAGUGGAUCUGACUGAUGGAGAACCGACGAUCUCCAACAAAACUUCAAUGGAAUCCCUAGAUGAUGCUCUCAAUGAAAACAACAGCAACAAUACAGGAGCUGAAGUCAACGGCAAUGGGCAGGAAUUAACUGAAAUCUCUAUUGAUACUUUACUUCUAAAAUAAAUCAGCCUUUUCCCAACAUUUUACAAUGAUCUCUGAACCAGACUGAUGGAUUUUUUUAAAUUGGAAGCAAAAGCUGAACUAAGUUGUAAACUACGCGAGUCAUUGUUAGAACAAUGUUGUUUGCAUAUACAGUACAUACAGUACUAUGAAAAGUCUAACAGGGCCCAGUGUACUGUGUUGAUGAUAUAAUGUAACUUUCUUUAUAAUUUUUUUCUUGUGUUUUACUCAUAUUUUGAAUUGCAUUGUGUUGUUUAAGGGUUAAAGGAAGUAUACUGUACAUACAUAAACUUAACGGAGAAACUUA